AAAAAAAACAAUCAAAAUAUUGUUUUUUUGGAACCGAAAGAACCGAAAAAACCGGGGCUCCCGGUUCUUAUGACCACCAGACCCGAAAAACCCGGUUCCUCAAACCAGAACCGAUUCUGCAUUCCCUACAUGUGGCCUAUGAUCGAUUAACCCAUACAGUGCUUAACCCACAGUGGGUGGUGUUUCAACACGAAUUUAAAAGCAGAUUUUUUUCAAAAAGUAUCAUUCUUUAUUAUUUGUUGGCAUUUUAUGUGUAUUUUAUGUAUUUAUUUAGUAUCGCCUGUUAUUUAGCAUUAUUACUGUUUUUAUUUUAUCAGGAUAUACCGCUUAGUUUAAAAGUUAUUACGUUUUCUUUAUAAUAAGUAAUUGGAAGAAAAAAAAUUCUAUAAAAAAUUAAAAAAAAAAAUCUCAAAAAUUUUUUGACCUCUUUUUUGUCGAUAAAAAUAGGUCUAGUUUCAUCUAUUUUCAUAUGUACACUUUAACGUGACUCACACUGUAUAAACAAGGUCCUCCAGCUUACAGAUGGUUCAGAAAAGCUGUUGUUUUGCCAUCACCUUUGACACUGAGUCGCAUGAUAACAAAAGCUGCUCUCAAACCUGGACUCAACAAAAAUAUUUUCAGCCAGUUAAAGAAAAGAGCAAAUAAAAUGAGCAAAACAGAAAAACUAUGUGUUGCUAUUUGAUGAAAUGGCACUGGCUCCCCAUUUUGAUUAUAAUAGAAGAAGUGAUACUGUAAGUGGGUUUGUUAAUAAUGGGGAGACAAAAAAAGAUAAUAUAGCUGAUCAUGCAUUGGUAUUCAUGAUAAGAGGGAUACAGAAGAAUUAUAAACAGCCAAUUGCAUAUUCAUUUUGUGCCUCAACCACACCAACAAUGGAUUUGGUGCAGCAAAUAAAAACGAUAACAAAAAAGUUGAAUUCCAUUGGCUUUUAAAGUUAUAGCCACCAUAUGUGACCAAGGGUCAACAAAUGUUAGUGCCAUCAAUUGGCUUGUAAAUGAGACAAAACAAGAGUACAUAAAAAAAGGUAAAACUUUAAAAAAUCAUAUAUUUGAAGUUGACGGCGAAGAAGUUGUUCCACUAUAUGACACGCCACAUUUAAUCAAGGGAAUAAGAAACAAUUUAUUAAAUAAAAAUUUAAAAGCUGUUAUUGAUGGGAAAGAAAAGAGAGCCAAAUGGGAACACUUGUUUCAACUUUAUAAGGAAAACCCUGCCUACCAAGGCAUUCGGCUAAUGCCAAAACUAACCAAAAACCACCACAAAAAAAAAAAUGAAAGUUAAAUGCGCAACUCAAGUUUUUAGCAGAUCUGUCGCUGCGAAUAUGGGAUAUUUAUUUAGUAAGUAGUUUUCAUUUUCUAAAAUUUGCAUUAUACUUAUUUUGUUGUAUUUUUUAUGUGAUAGGUGGCAGAUGGACAUCUUAUCAAAUGAUUUAUCUAUCUUCAGCAGUGGACAUCCUGUUGUUGCUGAAAUUAUUUGUUUCAAAAAUUAGGAAAGUAGCAUACCUAUUUUAGUUAUGCUAAUUCUGAGUAGUUUUAUAACAGUGAAUGAAUUUGUUACAGAUACUAGCCAAUGCAACAAUAAUACAUAGUCUUCAUCUGCAUUAUACAUAUUACUAUACAACUAAUAUUAAUAAAACCCUUUUUUUUUAUUCAAACAUUGUUUUCGAUUUAUUUUUCUAUACAAAAAUAAUAAAUUCAUAAAAUAUACCCUUAAGAGUUCUAGCAAACCAAAAGGAGCAUGUUGUAAAUUUAAUGUCCUGUGCGGUCUGGAAAUAAAGUGUUACCAGAUACUAACGUUACGUUGUAACGAGGCUUAUUUUUAUUUUCAGAUAUUGGAAUAUUACCCAAGGAAUGCCAGGAAACUGCAGACAUCAUCAUAUUUUUUGAUAAUUUAUUCGAUUCGCUCAACGGAAGCUAUGAAAAUUACAAAAAACGAAGCGGAAAACCUCUUCUUGGAGCUGUAACACCAAACUCCAUACACAAAAAAUUGUGGAGGGACUCCAAGAAAAUUUUAAAUAGUAUGAAAUUUAUUAAUACAUCUAAAAGAACAGCUUCUGUACAUAGCCUAAAAAAUUGGCUACAAACUAUUGAAAAUAUGGAAUACAUUGUAAAUAUCUUGUCUAAAAAAUACAGUUUGACAUCUCUAUGGAUGAGGCAUUUUAACCAAGAUCCCCUGGAGAACUUUUUUGGCUGCAUCAGAAGCCAUGGCUAUCGAAACAACAUGCCCACUUGUGCAGGUUUUGAAAUAGCUUUUGCUUCACUACUGAUUAAUAAUUUAAGUAGUUUGCACUCUCCAGGGGCUAAUUGUGAAAAUGAUAAUUGCAAAAUAUUUAAAACAUUAAAUAGAUUGUUUUUUAAAAAUUCGGAGAUGUCAAGCUGUACAGUUGAAGUCGAUUUCAAUCAUCUUAAUGGUGACCUGUUUAUACCACUACAAGAAAAAAGGAAAAAUAUUAAAGUUAGGGCUCAAUUGGAAUAUGUAACAGGAUAUGUUUUAAAAAAAAUCAAUAAGGAAAAAUGUAAAAGCUGCAAAGAAAUUUUGUAUGAUAGGCAUCAAGAUAGUGUGAUAAAAAUUAGGGAAUUUUUCGAUAAUAAGAAAUGCCUUACAUACCCCUCACAGGCCCUUUUACAGUGUUUUUCAAACAUACAAGAUGUUGUCAUUAAAAUUAUCCAAACUGACAGCAAAAAAAAUAAUAUUCGAGAAUAUAUUAGAAUGAUACUUUCUAUUGUUAUAGAUUACAGCUUCUUAUGUUGCAAAUAAUGAUUAUAAAAGAGAGAUAAUUGAAAAACUGGAAACUGUAAGCAUCAAUAAAAUUUAUUUCUGUAUAAUUGAUGCAAAGACACAAACAAAAUAUUGAAUGGGUCCAGAUCGGAUUACGAUGAUGCUGAUGCAGUUCAGUUAUUAGCCUUUAACUACUGUAAAAAAUAUAAAAAAAAAUGUCAACAAAAAAUUAUAGAAGAUCAAGUGUUCUGUAAUUUUUGCCUUGAUUUUACAAAAGACUCGAGUGAUGUUUUAAUAGCCUUAACAAAAAACAAAGGGACAUGACGCAAAUUAUUACCCAAUGACGAAAUACAAAACGCCAAGUAAAAAGCAGAGCGUCUGAGUAUAGACAUGGCAGACUGAUGACAGGAGGAGGACCUCCGCCAACAAGUCCGUCGCAACAACAAGAUUUAGAAAUACUACAAACUUUACCAAACGAGUUUGUGGUUGACAGCAAUGCUUUUGAUAGCGACGGUACAGACAUAUAUCAUCAUACAUACAGAUAUCAAAUCCUCCUGCAGAUGUGGAAGAAAUGGCGUUACAAUUAACACCACUAGCAUCAACGUCAAACACUAUUCUAAAGAAUAAAAAUACAAAACAAAGGAAAUCACAAUACUUAGAAUUCAAAGCUGAGAUAGCAAAUUCUUUGCUCUACUUCACUCCUGCAAAAGAGCAAAUACAUCAAGAAUGCAACACGGAACAAGAGCUUAAUACAACUGGAAAAUAAUCCUGAACCAUUUAGACCUAAUUUCAUCAACAGCAACGAUAUACGAAAAUAACUACAGCCAGAAUAAUCUCCGCUAUAUUUAUUUUUAGAUAACUCAUAAUACGUUUCACCACUAUGUACGGGCAUAAACUUACCCCAAGAUUAGCUAUUCUUUGGAAUAGGGUUUUUGUUAUCUGAGGUAGGUAGAAAAAGAGCGAAUAAGAUACCAAAUGCAUAAAUCAUCCACACUACGCAGUUUAAAUAAUGAAUUGAAUGAAGGAAGCCAUUGGAUUCAGCAGUUGUGUUGAAACUUCAAGAAAUAUUUUACUUAAGGGAUUUGAGUUUAAAACAAAUCUUACAAGUGUCAACAAUAUGGUCACUCGGCGAAGUUCUGUAAAGAAUCUUCAUCCACCUGCGGGAACUGUGGUUGCGCUGGGCAUUCAAUCAACGAAUACUCAAAAUUGAAAGAACCUGCGACCUGUGCCACGUGCCGGCCGCCAUGACGGCUUAGAGGGGCUAUUGCUGCAGUUAUUCGAUGGAUGACCCGAUUAGCUGUCGGUCGAUUCACUCCAGAGAAACCACUCAUGGUCAGUUUAUGACAUCCAGCUGCGUAGUACCGUAAAGUCAAUAGCAACUGAUCUAUAGCUAUUAAAAGCUAUAAUCAUCUUAAUAAAGGAAAACCUCUAAGGAAAGCGGUAACUGCGAACUCCCCACACCAUGGUUUCUGGCAAGACGCCAUUGACAUUUCAAUCAAGACAUCACAAUUUGUUGAUGGGGGAGCGAAAAGGCCGUGCCUACUUUAAAAAUAUUUAAGUCAAGCGCCCUCGCUAGUUCAACUCUGACCCCGUAGAAACCUUUUUCAGUUGGAUGUGGGCGUAUAAUUUUAGAAACAAUGAUCCGACUAGCCAAUUACUACUUACUAACUAGCCAAAUUAGGUAAUAAUGCCGCGAAAAUAUACGACCAAAGAGGGAUCAAUAAAGAGAAAACCGAUAGACAAGGAAACAUUGAAAAAUGCUGUAGCUGCAGUAUUAGGUGGAAAAACAUUGAAGGGGACUUCAAAGCAAUAUGGUGUCCCUCUAAUGACGUUAAAAAGAUACGCAAGAUUACAAAAAACAUCAAAUGAAGAAAUAAAAUAUGAACCUAACUACAAGCGAUCACAGAUAUUUACAGACGACGAAGAGAAAGAGUUGUCAAUGUAUUUAGAAGACAGCUAGUAAGUUGUUCGUUCGUUCGUUUCAGCCAAAUGACGUCCACUGCUGGACAAAGGCCUCCCCCAAGGUUUUCCACAAUGAACGGUCCUGCGCUGCCCGCAUCCAGGCUCUUCCCGCGACCCUUACCAGAUCGUCGGUCCACCUAGUAGGAGGCCUGCCCACGCUACGUUUUCUAGUAAGUUGUACCAUGGCCUUACUCCAAAAAAUGUUCGAUCUUUAGCAUAUUAUCAGUUUGUCAAAAUGAACAACAAAAAAUUUCCUGACAAUUGGGAAGUCAAAAAAAGAAGCUAGUUAUGAUUGGUUCUGGGGUUUCAUGCAACGCCAUAAAAUUGGGAGACUUGAUCCCCCCAGGAUCAAGGCUCCCAAACAAGGGUGAAGAAGUCUCCCUAAUAUUGGGGACACAUGGUAAAAGUUUACAAUCAGGAGUUUCAAUACAUAAUGAGUUAAAUUGUGAUACAAUCUGCUUCUUAUUAAAACUAUCAAUAGAUAGAUAAUUUCCAAAUCGUUUAGCUUAAAAAGUUUUCCAAUACUACAAAAAAUAAACAAAAUAGAGUGCAUAAUCAAAGUGGGUGAUCAACCCUCCCCAUGUUCCCCUACAUAGAUGGAUCUCACAAAGAGAAUAUCAACAGACUAUAAAAAAAGUAAACUGACCUAUCCAUCGGAAUAUGUCGUGAGGCACUUUGGACCAUUGUAAUGGCCAAGAAGAUAAUAUUACUACUAAAAUUAAAAAUCACAUAUUAGCCAAGUAUCCAUUUGAUUUCCUGAAUUGUAGUGAUCACAAAGCUUUUGUGGUAGAAUAUUUUAUACACUUGUCAAUUAAAUUAAGUACCUACAUACAACUGGUGCAACGUUAUCAACAGGAUUCUGAAAGGCACUGACAUAAUCAGACUCGAAAAAAGAACUCUGCCACCAAUGUAGAUAAAUAUAAAAAGAUUUGGAAUAUACUUGAAAUUAAGAGAGGCUUAGUACUAUUUGCCUUAUAUUUCUAAAAUGGCGGCUCAAAAAAGAAAGAUUUUCAAGAGAAGACAAGUGUAUUUUAUCGGAGUUGGUGUUAAAAUAUCAAGACGUUGUGGAAAAUAAGCGCACCGAUGCCACUACAAAUAAUUCCUCCAAGUUAAUACACCGUCAACAAUAGUGGAAGUCAUAUUAGGACCAGCACAAGGGAAUCUCAAGUGAUUUCGAUACCGACAGUCAAACAUACAAAUCUGAUCUGUCUAUGUAUAGUGCACUUAACUGAAUACCCAAUUACUCAUAAUCGUCAGAUUCUGCAGCUAAAAUUGUUAUCAAUUGUAACUUAUUGUUUCUUACAGGAAAACAUUGAAACUUUUAUUGACGAGCAUGAACAAAAUGCUCACACAAGCUUAUUGAAAGAAAAUAAUGUAAGUAAACACUUAAAGUACAUAAAUAAUUAAUAAUUCUUGGUAAAAUAAUGACUAUGAUCUAUUAAAGUAAGACAGUACUUUAAUAUGUAUUUUUUUGUGAACAGGACAAUGAUACCUUGAGUAUCAUAAUAUGGACUCCGAAGAAUUUAAAAACGCCAGUGUCAGGUCAACUUAAGGUAACCAGAUGUAUAAGUUGUUUAAUUUACUUUUAAUAUUGUACCUACCUACAUGUUAUAAAUUGUAAUUUACUGUUUUUUUAUCAGAAACAACAACAACAUGACAAUCAAACGCCGUCUUGAUACGGCAGUUGAUUCUGAGCCGGCUAAGAGAACUAAUACGUAUGGUUCAAUAUCAUAAUCCAAUCAGCAGGUGUAUCCCCUCGCUUGUUAUUGCCCCAAAGACAACAGUGACCAACCAAGACAAAGGCCCCUUCUUAGUCCAUGUAUCUCAUGUGGAAUCUGAGCCUUCUACCUCAAAAUGUAUACAACCCAUGAGAUUCGGCAAAUUUCUGGUAACAAACAAGAUUCGAGGUAUAAUUUUGGACGGAGUAAAAUCAGGUGAAACAGAUUUUCGGUUGAAUUCGUUUCCCCUAACGCAGCCAAUAAUUUCUUCAAUAAUGAAAUUGUAUCUUUAUACAAAUGCGUUGCUUCCACACCAACCUACAUUGAAUGGCUCUCAUCAGAAACAUUCCCACAAAUUGGACUAUGGAAGAGCUCACGGAAUCUCUGACAGUACCAGAGGGCUGUUGCAUUUUAUUUAAGACCCGUUCGUUUGAAAGGUCUUACCAAGACGAACUAUAUUUACUAUGGCCAUUGGCCACCAACCUCAGAUGUGGUAGCGUUCGAAGAUAAACAUAAGACUGUUUUGCAGAAUGGUACCCGGCUCCAAUAGCUUGGGUAAUUCAUCGUGUAAUCCUUUUUUUUUUCUAUCCUUCUUUUAGUUAUAAUAAUAGAUUGUAGUCUUAAAGUACAUACUCAUAUAAUAUACAGUUCUUUAAUUUCAAUAAACAAAAUUAAAAUGUAAAUCAUCUUUUAUUUUCACAUUUUAUUUAGAUACCCUUAAAGACUCCAGGGUGUUGGUCGUGAAAGAACUUUGCCUUUGUUUAAAAAAAGUGUACUUAGUGUGUGUGGUUUUAGGUGUUGAGUAUUUUAUAAGUACAUACACAAACUUUUUUGAGUGUAGUGUAGUUUUAGUGCUAGAAGAGUACGUACUUUUUAAGUAGGUAAACAUUUUUCUUAUUUAGUUUUUAUAAUGGAAUUAGAUGUGACUUUUUGACUAGAGACGACUAUAUGGACGCUUUAAUUAAUAAUUUAGUGUGGCCGUGGUACCUGUACUAUUACUUAUUCUGUGGCCGUGGCCAAUUACACACUUCGUUAAAGUUGAGCAAUGCAUAAAUAAUUUUUGAAAUAGCACCCAUUAACAAUUUAAACCAUUUUGAGAGUACACUACGAAAAAUAAUGAAAAACUGUCUGAAGUAUCAAUUCAAAAAAUGCUACCAAAAGAGAUUAGCUUUGAUUGAAAGACCAAACAUUCAAGCUUGGAGGGCUAAAUAAAUAUGGCAAAAUGUCGUAAAAUGGUUUGAAAAAUAGGAAUUGCUAAUGUGUCAAUUAGCAGACACGAAGGCAACAUCUUACAAUCAGCUCCUUCGUAAUUUAUAAAAAUAAUUUAUUAAUAGCAGAUUUAUUCCUAUAUGAAAACUUUUUGGAGCAUGCCCGUGUUACGGAGACUAUUUUACAUCGUCGGCGUAUGGCUCUUCGGAACUUGGAAAUGCUAUAACCAUGACCAAGGAUAUUUAUUGUUAAUUUAAUCCUUUUAUUUUUUUUGGUACUUAGUGCACUAAGCUUUUAUGCGUCUGGUUCGUACCAAGAUUUAUCGGAGCAAGUGCGCACCAUAGAAUACAUCAAGUUAGUGUAUUUAACUGUGUGAGGGCUGCGACGCAAGCUCUUAAUAUAUUAUUUACACGGAAAUACAUUCAUUUUCCAAAAACUCGUGAAGAACGAAAUAUUAUAAAAAACGAGUAAAAUCAAUGUUGUAAGUUGUAGUUAGAGAAAAUCACCUAUCUACAUGUUUAACAUGAUAUUUUUAGGUUCUACUAGAAGUUUAGUUUUCUAGCAGUUGUGGGAUGUAUUAUAGAUAGCAUUCACAUAGCUAUCACCAAGUCUGCAGAAUUUGAGCAGCUGGAGCUGCUUAGCAUUAAGCAACGCGAGCCCCGGGUGCCUUAUCCCGGGUAGACAUCGAGUCAGACAGUUCCGUCGUGUCGAUGGACUCCCGCCGGAGUGACACUUCUGGACACAGAACAAAAUUGUGGAGCAGGAAGCGGACUCCCGACGAAAGGGAGGAGGCACCAGAGCCCAAAGAGUGGUAACAACAAAUCGAGGGCAGUAACAUUAUGUAGAUGGGUCAUUGAAGCAGUAAAUGGCCUAUUUAAGCGCGACUUUCAAGAUAUAUCAUGGCCGUAGCUAGGGGGGGGCAUUGUGGGGCAAUGCCCUACCUUGAAACCACAAUGCCCUACCUUAAAAAUAUCUAAAACUAAGAUAAAUUAUUAUAAUUAAAUUGUUUGUUCAUAGUUUGAGAAAAAAAAUGUAGCGAUAGGUAUCUAAGUUUGCAACAAAAUUUAUAAUGUGAUGGUAAGACUCUUGUAUUGGUUCAAACUAAAGCCGAUGAAACGGAACGCACCAAUGACAAAUGUCAUGAUGACAUUUUGCUGAAUAAAAACAAAACGUCAAAACAAAAACAACCUCAAAUGGAUAUUGUUUAUAUUUUAUUGAAUUUCAGGUGUUUUAUCAGUGAAUGCAAAAAAAAGUGUUACAUUCUUUGUUCUGUGUAUAGAUGGCAUUCGAAGCGCCAUCUCAUGAAGCGAUGGGUUUAUACAAAGAAUUGAGAAUGUUACUAGGUAUGCAAAAUCACUUGAAACCUAUGUUACAGUUAAGCUUUUACAUUUACAAAUACAUUAGUUUUUAUUUCAUUCAAAAAUACCCAGUAGUUAUGAUUUUAUAGGCAUUCAAAGUUCGCUUAAAUAUUGAGUCCCGCCGACGGUCACGUGACCCCGUGUGACGUACAUUCACAGCGUCCGCUCACUAGAAAACGGAUAUAAACAUACUUAAAUAUUUUUUUUUUGUAAAUACAAACUUAUUAUACAUAUUAACACCCAGACCCAUCACAGAAAUUAAAAUUGAACCAAACCCAAACUUGACGCGAUUGUGUCGUUUUAUUGCGAAUUACCUUCCAGCUCCAUCAUUAGACCCCGAUUACUAUAUAGAAUUAAAAUACUCAUCAAUACGAAACGAACGAGCCCAAACUCGAUGCAUUUAAGUCGUUUUAUUAUAGACCUUCCAGCUCCAUCAUCAGAUCAGCUCCAUGUCAUCAUAAUAUUGCAUGGUCAUCCAAAUCACAUGUGUUUGCGAAAUUUCAGCUUAAUCGGUUGCCUGGAAGUGGGUCUUAAUUCAGUUUGCAAGAUUCCACCCAUACAAAUAUGAGCAAGUCGUUGUAAUAUGACGUCACGCGCAUAAAAUGGCGGGCCGGCCGCCGCCCGCACUUUUAAAAUUCAAUAUCUUGGAAACUAAUUGACGUAUCGAAAUAAUUCUUUCACGUGUAUUUUUUAUUUUUAACAGAGAAUACAGAAAGCUAAAAAACAAAAUCAGUGAACAUUCUUCAUUAGAAUAGGGCUAGUCGGGGAAUCCCCUUUUAAACCUGACCUAAAGAUUGAUUAUGAUUGUUUGUAGUUUGGUUAAGUGAAGUGUACGGUGAAGAGUGCUUUAGACAAAAAUCGAUACAAUUGUUAUUUGUAUUGCUAUAAAUUGAAGAUUCAUUUAUUUCGCGAUGGAUAUACGGGCUUUCUUUGGAAAAAAACGAAGACUUGAGGAGCAAAUUGACCACGAAAAACCUAACUGUUCAAAACAGGUGGAAGCACCAAAUACAAUCGCUACUCCUAGUUCCGUAGCAACAGGUAACGUUAGCUAUGGUAUUCCGUCUGAUAUUGCACAAAUCGGAGAACCAAUAGAACAAGUUGUUUUAGACACAUAUCCAAAACAACACAACAGGGCCUUUGUUUCCGAUUGGUUCAAGCGUUAUAAAUGGUUGCAGUAUUCUGUCGAGAAAGAUGCUGCUUUUUGCUAUCCAUGCCAGCAAUUUUUACCUCAUGGAAGCAAACAGACUUCGUACACUUCCACAGGAUUUAGAAACUGGAAAAAUGCCACUGAUUCUAAAACUGGUUUUCCAAAACAUGAAAAAUCAAUUUCUCAUAUUCAAGCUAUGUCGAUGUGGCAGGAGAAAUUACAAAGAAUAUCUACAUCUAGCAGUGUUGAAACGUUAAUAAAUCAAAAAGUAUUAGAAAAAUAUAGGUAUUAUGUAAAGUCUAUCAUGGAAGUAAUACAAUUUCUAAUUGUCAACGAAUUAGCUUUGCGUGGAAAUUAUAUUUUGGAAGAAGAAAAAGAACAAGGAUUAUUUCAGAAUUUAUUUGAAUACACAUGUAUGAAAGAUCCAAAUUUGAACGAGGUUCUCACUCAUAUACCACAAAACGCAACAUAUCGUUCACCCGAAAUUCAAAAUCAAAUAAUUCAAGCAAUGGUUCAAGCGGUACGAAGUUCCAUUGUCAAAGAUAUUAAUGAAUCUGACGUGAAAUGGUUUACUCUAAUGGAAGAUGGGACGAGAGAUAAAAAUAACCGCGAAAAUAUUGCAUUAGCAAUACGCUACGUCAAGGAUGGUGUCGUCAAUGAGUCGUUGCUGAUGGUUAAGACUACUGAAAAUCUUGAUGCAGCCACUUUCACGGAAUUAACGUUAAAUACUCUCACGGAAAAUAACAUUGACCCCUCUUGUAUGCUUAGCCAAUGCUAUGAUGGCGCAAGUGUAAUGAGUGGGAAAGUUUCAGGAGUUGCGACUAGAAUAGAAAAUAAAUUGGGCCGAAAAAUUCCUUACGUCCACUGCUAUAACCAUCGCUUGCACUUAAUAGUCAUCAGGACUAUCUCAGAAAUGACUUUUAUUCGUUUAUUUUUUGACCAAUGCAUCAUGUUACAUGAAUUCUUUCAUCAUGGCAAAAUAGCUGCCUUAUAUGAUGGAAAAAGGAUUGGCCGACUCCUCGAACAACGCUGGUCUGGACAUUUAGCAGUUACAAAAGUUGUAUACGAUAAUUAUUCAUCGAUUUUGCAGACUUUGAAAGAAAUUAAAAAUGGCAGAUUCAACGGUGAUGACGUCGCCAAGAGUAUAGGUAUUAAAAAAGUCAUGCUUGAUCUGGAAUUCCGAAUAGCCAUGGUUGUGGCCAAAAAAAUCUUAUCCAAGCUACAACCUGCAGACGCAGCUUUGCAAGCCCGAAGCGCAGGAUUAAAAGAUGCCAUAACAAUCAUAAAGUGUGUCAAAGAUGAAAUUAUUAAAUUAAGAUCAAAUCAAAUGUAUAAUCAAAUUCUGGAAGAAGCUAAGUCUUUAACAAGCAAUGACUGCGGCGAAUCUGAAAAUAGGACACAGACCUCGAAGAGGCAAGUAAAAAAACCAAAUCGGAUGGAUGACUAUUUGACGUACACCCCCUGUUCCUCCGCCAGACAAAAUAUAGAUGAGAACGACGAGCCAUUUAAGUCUGAGUAUUUCGAAACGUUGGACAUUUUAAUUGCUGAAUUACAAAGAAGGUUUUCGGACAACGAUGAUUUAAUUAAUUCGAUUGCAAGUCUUGAUGAGUUGGAUGUAGAUAAAAUGGUUCCACUGAAAAAUUUGGGUCUGAAAAUUCCAUCAAGAGAAGAGGCUAGUGUGGUUAAAGCUUACUUGAGUCGUAACGAGGAUAUAAUGGAAAAUACAUUGCAAGUUUUGUACAGGCAACGAGAGGCGUUCAAAGAUACAUAUGAACUUUUUGCGUCUGUGGCGACCAUAGGAUGUAGCACUGCAGUGUGUGAAUCUACGUUUUCAACUUUAACUGCAAUCAAUAGGCCUCAAAGGCUGUCAAUGGGUCACGAGAGAAUGGCUGGUAUGGUAUUUCUGGCCUUUGAAAAAAAAAGAACAAAAUCAGUUGAUCUGAACGAAGUUCUUCGCAUUUUUAAUAACAUGGCGAAUCGUAGAAUUCAGCUGUUUUAAAUGUUUUUUAUUAUUAUGUUAGUUAAUUAUUAUAAUAAGUACGCAAAAACAAUGUGAUCUUAAUGAUAUUUUUGGUCGUUUCUAUUUACUCGUAUCACCCCACCCAAUAAUUAAUUAUUACCUCACUCUCACUCAGACGUGGAUCUCUACAUCCAAAUCUGGAAGUUCAACCAUCUUAUUCACUUGUUCUUCAUCAUUGAGGAUUUAAUAGUUCUUAGAUCCAUGCUCAUGCACUGUCACAGUAAUUAUUUGUCUACGAAUAACUAUUCACAUGAUGGUGAUAUACAUGGUGAUUGAUUUAGGAGCCCGUGUUUCGACGGCAGAUCAAUUAUGAUAAUUUUUUUACUUCCGCCCUACCUGUAACUAAUGCUGCCCUACCUCAAAUUCGACCCUAGCUACGGCCCUGAGAUAUAUGUGAUUUAUGAAAAAAGAUCAGAGAGUAAAUUAUCACGGAAAGAAGAGCUCUUGCUUGAGUUACUUUUUUGAAUGGGACAAUGUUGUGCUUUAAGUUUUGGAUGAAAGGUGUUUCAAUGCAAAGUAAGGCAAAUACCCCUUUAUUUUCCUGUGUACCCUUGGCUGUUCCCUUGAUGGUAUAGUGGAAAAUAAAUUUUAACCGCUGUACCCUUGGCCAUAAAACCCAACCAACUUAAAUUAUACACAUGACCAAGAGGACUGGCUUUUCUUGAAAUUGGCCAAA